rnacentral:rRNA from 1 species
UACGUAGGGUCCGAGCGUUGUCCGGAAUUACUGGGCGUAAAGAGCUCGUAGGCGGUUUGUCGCGUCUGCUGUGAAAACCCGAGGCUCAACCUCGGGCCUGCAGUGGGUACGGGCAGGCUAGAGUUCGGUAGGGGAGAUCGGAAUUCCUGGUGUAGCGGUGAAAUGCGCAGAUAUCAGGAGGAACACCGGUGGCGAAGGCGGAUCUCUGGGCCGAUACUGACGCUGAGGAGCGAAAGCGUGGGGAGCGAACAGG